AAAUUGAAGAGUUUGAUCAUGGCUCAGAUUGAACGCUGGCGGCAGGCCUAACACAUGCAAGUCGAGCGGCAGCGGGAAGUAGUUUACUACUUUGCCGGCGAGCGGCGGACGGGUGAGUAAUGUCUGGGAAAC
rnacentral:rRNA from 1 species